rnacentral:rRNA from 1 species
GAUUAACGCUAGCGGCAGGCCUAAUACAUGCAAGUCGAACGGCAGCGGGUGUAGCAAUACAUGCCGGCGAGUGGCGCACGGGUGCGUAACGCGUAUGCAAUCUACCUAUAACUGGGGAAUAGCCUUCCGAAAGGAAGAUUAAUACCGCAUAACAUCACGGAACGGCAUCGUUUUGUGAUCAAAACUCAGGUGGUUAUAGAUGAGCAUGCGUGACAUUAGCUAGUUGGUGAGGUAACGGCUCACCAAGGCGACGAUGUCUAGGGGGUCUGAGAGGAUGAUCCCCCACACUGGUACUGAGACACGGACCAGACUCCUACGGGAGGCAGCAGUAAGGAAUAUUGGACAAUGGCCGCAAGGCUGAUCCAGCCAUGCCGCGUGAAGGAUGAAGGUGCUAUGCAUUGUAAACUUCUUUUGUCCCGGAAUAAACCCCUGAUUUCUAUCGGGGCUGAAUGUACGGGAAGAAUAAGGGACGGCUAACUUCGU